UGUCAAAUCAUAUUUUUUGCCGAGAUGUCCAGUCAAUUUGAGCAACGUAAUUGUGUAUUCUACGUAAUGACGCAUUUGUACGUUAUCACGCAAUGACAUCACAACCUCAUUUAAGUCAUUUUUAGCAACAAAUCAACCUGCUUCAAGCAACUUAACCUGGAAAUUAGUUGGCAACACUGAUUUAGAGCGCACACUGGACGCUCUGGCCGACGAGUAGGGUUGAUCCGAGCGUUCUGACCUCACAACGGCACCCAAGCUAACAGGCUAAGGUUGGCUAGCUUGCUAGCUACUUCCAGACAAAAAUGAGAGAACACCUCACUCGCCCUGGCAGAGGUUGAAAUUCACAGUUGAAGAGAUGCAGGGGUCCAUUGUGACCAUGGCCGAGGACACAGGCACUGCAGAGUGCCAGAAAAGACAGAACCGAAGAAGUGCAAUGUGGCAGAAAAUGGCAGAGCACCUGGGUCCACCUACCCACCAUCACCUAAAACCCACUCCUCUCCCUACACCUGUGAAGGAGAUCUCUCGCUCUCUCACCUCCACCCCCCCACCCACUUAUGUCCAUAUAAUAAAUCCUCUUCAUUUUCCAA